rnacentral:lncRNA from 1 species
AGCUGGGCCUCUCUUUUGGUGAAAACCCUCUCUUUUCAGUCCUAAGCAGGGUCCUUUCUCAGACCUCCCAUCCUUACUGAUAACUGAAGUCCCAAGGAUUUCUCUUGCUUAUCUCUUCUUUCCAGGGUCCUGACGACUCUUUACUUCAAGCCCCUUUCUUCGUUUAGACUGGCUUUCAGGGUAGCAUAGAGAGGUGCCUCCCACCCCUGUUUCCCCCUGCUGUUUCUGAGACAAGCACACAAUCUCAUUUUUAUUUUUAAAGGUUUUUACUGCUCAGUGGAAAUAAGAGUUACGUGCACACACACACACAAAGAAAAACAUGGGGGAGGUAAAAAAAACUAAGAAAUCUCAACAGUCUCCAAUAGUAAUUGUCCCUGCCUUUCACCCUUUUCUGUCAGUUCUCAUUUGGGGGGACUGUCCUAGAAGCCCCCACCCCAAACCACAUGCUUAUGUGGUUGAUGGGAAAGGCCAGGAGCAGGCAUGGUGCCCCUCAAGGCCAAGUUCAUGGAAGAAGGCUUUGUAAUGGAACUCAAAAUAGGAAAGAGAGACAUUUUAAAAGAAUGAUAAAGUUCAAAAUUUAGGUUAACAGGGAGGGCCUAUGGAGUGAGUGCUAACUGCAGAGAUGGACCAGAAGAUGAUACCUUUAGGGAGUGCCACCAGUGAAGAGGGGACCGCAUGCAGAGAUGGCUGAGCUGGAGAAGUAGUAACAGUGACUCCUGGGUGCACUUCCUCCUCCCCAAAGAAGAGAUGCAGGGAACAUCUGGAAGCUCUGAGAAGAGCAGGGAGCAAUUCCUGAAGAAUGAUGCUUGGGCAGCUGAGCCGAAGAAAGCUAAGAGCCUCAAAAUGAGUGGCAGGCGCUCUGGAAUUAGAAAAGAAGAAACAAAAUUUGAGAAAAGAAAAUGUGAGCAGGAGUUCCCGUCGUGGCUCAGUGGUUAACGAACCCAACUAGGAUCCAUGAGGAUGCGGGUUCAAUCCCUGGCCUUGGUCAGUGGGUUAAGGAUCUGGCAUUGCCAUGAGCUGUGGCAUAGGUUGCAGAUGUGGCUUGAAUCUGGUGUUGCUGGGCCUGUGGUGGAGGUUGGCAGCUGUAGCUCUGAUUCAUCCUCUAGCCUGGGGACCUCCAUAUGCUGCAGGUGCAGCCCUAAAAUGCAAAAAAAAAAAAAGAAAAGAAAAGAAAAGAAAGAAAACGUGAGCAAUAUCAAGGAAGAGGUACCUUGACUUCAUUCACUCAUCAUAAUCCAAUGAGUAUGGCACUGAGCUGAGAAUUAUUGGUGGUGGGGUAGAGAGAUGAUGGGAAAGGACAUUGAAAGUAAAUUUAAAACAUAGUCCCUGAUAUCAAGGGGCUGCAAUUUAAUAUGAGAUGACAACUAAAUAUUCAAGACAGUAUCUGAUUAUCAUCACCACUGUUUGCAGAAGAACUAGACAGUAUGAGAGAAGCUGAAUGAUAAAAAUCUAAAGCAAACCACUUGUCAAUGAAUCAUAUUGGUUUCUUUCAAUGCCAAGGAGCCUUAACUAUUCAAUGUUAAGCCUUAAC